GAUGAACGCUAGCUACAGGCUUAACACAUGCAAGUCGAGGGGUAACGAGAGGAAAGCUUGCUUUCCUUGUCGACGACCGGCGCACGGGUGAGUAACGCGUAUCCAACCUGCCCCCAACUAGGGAAUAACCUUGCGAAAGUAAGACUAAUACCCUAUAAUUUCCUCAGAUGUCAUCUGACGAGGAAUAAAGAUUUAUCGGUUGUGGAUGGGGAUGCGUCUGAUUAGCUUGUUGGCGGGGUAACGGCCCACCAAGGCAACGAUCAGUAGGGGUUCUGGGAGGAAGGGCCCCCACCAUGGAACUGAGACACGGUCCGAACGCCUAAGGGGGGCAGCAGUGAGGAAUAUUGGUCAAUGGGCGGAAGCGUGGGCCAGCCAAGUAGCGUGCAGGAUGGCGGCCCUAUGGGUUGUAAACUGCUUUUAUACAGGAAUAAAGUUAGCCACGUGUGGUUAUUUGUAGGUACUGUAUGAAUAAGGACCGGCUAAUUCCGUGCCAGCCGCCGCCGUAA
rnacentral:rRNA from 1 species